rnacentral:rRNA from 1 species
CAUUACCGAGUGCGGGUUCGAACGAGCCCAACCUCCCACCCGUGUUUACUGUUACCGCGUUGCCUCGGCGGGCCCACUGGGGCCUGGCCCCGGUCGCCGGGGGGCUUCUGCCCCCGGGCCCGCUCCCGCCGAAGCACCCUAGAACCCUGCCUGAACAGUGAGUCUGAGUGAGAUUUUAAAUCAUUAAAACUUUCAACAACGGAUCUCUUGGUUCCGGCAUCGAUGAAGAACGCAGCGAAAUGCGAUAAGUAAUGUGAAUUGCAGAAUUCCGUGAAUCAUCGAAUCUUUGAACGCACAUUGCGCCCCCUGGCAUUCCGGGGGGCAUGCCUGUCCGAGCGUCAUUUCUGCCCUCCAGCACGGUGGGUGUUGGGCGCUGUCCCCCCGGGGACACGCCCCAAAAGCAGUGGCGGCGCCGCGUCGGGUCCUCGAGCGUAUGGGGCUCUGUCACCCGCUCGGGAGGGACUCGGUCGGCGCUGGUCUUCCCUUUAGGCCGCCCUUCGGGGUGCGCCUCUUCCGGUUGACCUCGGAUCAGGUAGGGCUACCCGCUGAACUUAAGCAUAUCAAUAAGCGGAGGAAAAGAAACCAACAGGGAUUGCCUCAGUAACGGCGAGUGAAGCGGCAAGAGCUCAAAUUUGAAAUCUGGCUCCUUCGGGGCCCGAGUUGUAAUUUGGAGAGGAUGCUUCGGGCGUGGCCCCUAUCUAAGUGCCCUGGAACGGGCCGUCAUAGA